rnacentral:rRNA from 1 species
UAGCCGUAAACGAUACUCGCUAGGUGUCGGCCACGGUGCGACCGUUGUCGGUGCCGUAGGGAAGCCGUGAAGCGAGCCACCUGGGAAGUACGGCCGCAAGGCUGAAACUUAAAGGAAUUGGGCGGGGGAGCACCACAACGGGUGGAGCUUGCGGUUUAAUUGGAUUCAACGCCGGAAAUCUUACCGGGACCGACAGCAACAUGAAGGCCAGGCUGAAGACUUUGCCGGAUUAGCUGAGAGGUGGUGCAUGGCGUAGUCGUGU